CAGUCGCCGCGGGAAUACGAAGGGGGCUAGCGUUGUUCGGAUUUACUGGGCGUAAAGGGCGCGUAGGCGGGCUGAUAAGUCGGGGGUGAAAUCCCAAGGCUCAACCUUGGAACUGCCUUUGAUACUGUUGGUCUUGAGUCCGGGAGAGGUGAGUGGAACUGCGAGUGUAGAGGUGAAAUUCGUAGAUAUUCGCAAGAACACCAGUGGCGAAGGCGGCUCACUGGCCCGGAACUGACGCUGAGGCGCGAAAGCGUGGGGAGCAAAUGGGAUUAGAUACCCCUGUAGUCCCUGUCUCUUAUAC
rnacentral:rRNA from 1 species